rnacentral:rRNA from 1 species
AGUGAACGCUGGCGGCGUGCUUAACACAUGCAAGUCGAACGAGAACGGGAUAUAGCUUGCUAUAUUUGUCAGCUAAGUGGCGCACGGGUGAGUAAUGUAUAGGUAAUAUGCCUCUUACUAAGGGAUAACAAUUGGAAACGAUUGCUAAUACCUUAUAUGCCUUUAAGACUAAAGUCUGCAAGGGAAAGAUUUAUUGGUAAGAGAUUAGCCUGUAUUGUAUCAGCUAGUUGGCGAGGUAACGGCUCACCAAGGCGAAGACGGGUAGCUGGUCUGAGAGGAUGAUCAGCCACACUGGAACUGAGACACGGUCCAGACUCCUACGGGAGGCAGCAGUGGGGAAUAUUGCGCAAUGGGCGAAAGCCUGACGCAGCCACGCCGCGUGAGCGAUGAAGGCC